rnacentral:lncRNA from 1 species
CCACCCUGUUUUAGUUACAAAGUGCCGUAACUCAAAAAGUUUUAAUUUUAUUUUCACCAAAAAGUAUACAGAUCAUUUGACCAUCAUAAGAAACAACCAUAUGAAGUUUCAUGAAAUUUGGAUAAGUUGUUCUCAAGUUACGGUGGGACAUGUUUACGCCCGACAGACGGACGGACACCGGACAUUUGUAUACCAUAAUAUGUCCCGUCAAAAGUU